UACAGAGGGUGCGAGCGUUGUUCGGAAUUAUUGGGCGUAAAGGGCGCGUAGGCGGUGCGGUAAGUCACCUGUGAAAUCUCCUGGCUCAACUGGGAGCUUGCAGGCGAAACUGCCGUGCUGGAGUGUGGGAGAGGUGAGUGGAAUUCCUGGUGUAGCGGUGAAAUGCGCAGAUAUCAGGAAGAACACCCGUGGCGAAGGCGGCUCUCUGGGACGGUACUGACGCUGAGACGCGAAAGCGUGGGGAGCGAACAGG
rnacentral:rRNA from 1 species